rnacentral:ncRNA from 2 species
GAAAAGAACAAGGGGAGCUUGCGAAAAGCAGGCUGAGAGUAAGCUGUAUGCUUAGACCCAUAACCUGAUUUGGAUAAUGCCAACGUAGGAAAAUACCCGGUAGAAGUU